CAUAUCAAUCCAACAAACGACGCCAUUUGAAGUGGAAGUUUGCAGUCGAUUUUAGCCCGACUUUGGACCGUUGAUUUCAAUAUGGUAUGACUAAUAAUAAAUGCUGGCAACUAUGUUGCCAAAAAGAUUGCCAACUUGUUUUCAAGGAGGGAAUCCAAUGAAAAGUAUAAAGAACAACAUGAUGACACUACAGCACCUGUGUAUAACUGUCCUUUGAAUCAAGAACCGUCUGAAAAACAGACAAAGAUUAGCCAUGAUGAAAGCCAGGAUAGCAAUGCUGCUACAAGAUACAGACAUGGAAACGAGCCACAGCUAUCCUCCACAUAAUCAAUCUUUGCACUUUUAAAUGUAUGCAUGCACUAUACACAUAUUAUUUACUUCAUCGUUUAUAGAUUUUGAGUCAAUUGAAGAGGCUCAACCAGUCCACGGUAGCCUAAGAUCCAGAUACAAGAGYUGCACUUAUAACAUUUAUUGCACUAUAACAAGGACAASGAUUGAAUUUAGGCACUGUUUGGUUUCUUUCCCUUGUUGCCUUGAUUUUCUUUCUCAGUAUCCCAUUGCAUAACUACAUGUAACUAACAUCCUAUUAUUAUUCAAAUGUACUGCACUUUAAAGAGUAAAAUAAUAUAUACCAUAAUAUUACACAUAUUGAUAUGUAAUGUGAAAUCUUCAUUUCAUAGAUUUAUCAUACAUUGAUUGUCAAUUCAAGUUAUAAAGCGUUAAAGUUUUGUAAAAGUAGCCUAAAAACUGUGUAUUAUGAAGACUUUCAUUCAAAACCYAUUGUUAGGACGAGUGUUAGUUGGAGAAGUAGUCAAACAGACACAGCUCAGGAACUUCAACAAAUAAAAACUGCUUUGAGUAAAASUGAAA